GGCAAAAGAAUUUUCCUUUGUGCUUCCACAAUCGUUCACCAAUUAAUGUUACAACAUGUAAACCCAUGUUUCCUCUACGCUGAGACAAUGAAACCUUUCACUAAUUCUUUCCUAAGUUCGACACAUUAUAUACAACCUACCCAUUUAGAUAUAACCCAAUAACGUGGGAUACAUAAUGUGGAUACUAUUAAUAACUAACAGUUAUAGAAGAACCAGGCUCCAUCCUAUGUUCAUGACCAUAUUGAUCAUUACAACUUAUCGCCUUCCCUGCUCCACUCUAGCCUCAUCAACUUCCUUGGCUUUGGCUGACUGCUGCUGCAGUCUGCGUCGAAUGUUCUUGAUGCCGGUGGCAUCAUCAAUGAUUUCUUUACAAUGUUCACAUUAUAAUGUUUUGACUCU
rnacentral:lncRNA from 1 species